ensembl:lncRNA
GUAAACUGUUACAGAGGUGACAUUACAAUAAGGUAAGAUCAUGUAAACUGUUAGAGGUGUCAUCACAAUAAGGUAAGAUCAUGUAAACUGUUAGAGGUGUCAUCACAAUAAGGUAAGGUCAUGUAAACUGUUAGAGGUGUCAUUACAAUAAGGUAAGAUCAUGUAAACUGUUAGAGGUGUCAUCACAAUAAGGUAAGGUCAUGUAAACUGUUAGAGAUGACAUCACAAUAAGUUAAGGUCAUGUAAACUGUUACAGAGGUGACAUCACAAUAAGGUAAGGUCAUGCAAACUGUUACAGAGGUGACAUCACAAUAAGGUAAGG